CAGCAUGGUCUUAGCUUGCUAAGGCCGAUGGCGACCGGCGCACGGGUGAGUAACACGUAUCCAACCUGCCGUCUACUCUUGGACAGCCUUCUGAAAGGAAGAUUAAUACAAGAUGGCAUCAUGAGUCCGCAUGUUCACAUGAUUAAAGGUAUUCCGGUAGACGAUGGGGAUGCGUUCCAUUAGAUAGUANGCGGGGUAACGGCCCACCUAGUCUUCGAUGGAUAGGGGUUCUGAGAGGAAGGUCCCCCACAUUGGAACUGAGACACGGUCCAAACUCCUACGGGAGGCAGCAGUGAGGAAUAUUGGUCAAUGGGCGAGAGCCUGAACCAGCCUAGUAGCGUGAAGGAUGACUGCCCUAUGGGUUGUAAACUUCUUUUAUAAANGAAUAAAGUCGGGUAUGGAUACNCGUUUGCAUGUACUUUAUGANUAACGAUCNNCUAACUCCGUGCCAG
rnacentral:rRNA from 1 species